rfam:Triticum aestivum genome assembly, contig: Triticum_aestivum_CS42_TGACv1_scaffold_591842_7BS
CUAAAGGCUUUACUUGGCACAAAUACUAAUUAAAACACAAAAGCCACAAUCAUAACAAUAGCAUAAUUGU